CGGAAAUUUUGCUAGGUAGUAAAAAUGCAAAAAAAGAAGAUUGCCUUCCUCCAUUCUAUCAUCAUAGAAGAGUAGAAAGGGAAAGUACCUGCUUACAGGCGGCAAGAAGCAAGAGCAGGAUGGUGCCUUGCUGGAUGCUUGGAAACUGAAGUGCUGGGAGAUGAAGUGAUUUUCAGCCAUGGUAAUGAAUCAACACUGCCUUCCCCAGCUCUGCCCUUGGUCUGCUAGCUGUUGACUUUGUCCAUUUCUUGGAAUCCAUUGCCUGCUUGUACACACAAUUACCCAGGCCCCAAAGAACAUUCCUAAGCUGAGUAAACUUGACCUGGAUUCUUUCAGAAAACAUUAGCUACCCUAUAUAACAUUUCAGCAGAAAUCUAGAUGUGCUGCCUAACCCCAGCCAACAUCCUAAAGUAUAUCUCCAAACUACACUAACAUUGUUAUUUCAGCAACGAGGAAAAACACAAGAGACUAUCCUUGAAGUCUAUACCAACAUGUGAAACUACCAAGCCUCACACAAAGCAAGCAAGUAUCAAAUGCUGGUUCCUUUUCCCUUUUUCUGGCGCAACAACUUUACAUACCAGAGAGGUAAUUUCCAGCCAACAGAUGUACCUUCCACCAUCCCGUUCAAUCCUACAUUGGUAUUAGAGCUAAAGUCAAUAAAAGUAACGAAGAGGUGGGGGCUGGAGAGAUAGCCCAGGGGUUAAGAGUGUGUAAUGCUCUUACAGAGGACCCAGG
rnacentral:lncRNA from 1 species